AAAGUCGUAACAAGGUUUCCGUAGGUGAACCUGCGGAAGGAUCAUUAUGAAUGCUUGCGGCUAAGUGAAGUGUUGGAAUGAUGUGGAUAAAAUUUGACAAUCUUGACUAAUUUUAACGACCCUCCACAAUGGAUCUCUGGGCUCUU
rnacentral:misc_RNA from 1 species